rnacentral:rRNA from 1 species
UACGUAGGGGGCUAGCGUUGUCCGGAAUCAUUGGGCGUAAAGCGCGUGUAGGCGGCCCGGUAAGUCCGCUGUGAAAGUCGGGGGCUCAACCCUCGGAUGACGGUGGAUACUGUCGGGCUUGAGUACGGAAGAGGCGAGUGGAAUUCCUGGUGUAGCGGUGAAAUGCGCAGAUAUCAGGAGGAACACCGAUUGCGAAGGCAGCUCGCUGGUACGUUACUGACGCUGAGACGCGAAAGCGUGGGGAGCAAACAGG